AUGAUGGGCCGGGUUUCAGGUGUGGCCUCGUAUAAAAGUAGAGUCACCUGGUUGCUGGAUUCAUUAGUGUGUGAUUCGGCACAAGGCUUUGGUUUGGGAAUUUUGAAAAUGUAUGGGAACAAUGGAGGAAACCAGUAUCCUCCUGGAUACGGUCAACCACCAAUGCAAGGAGGAUAUCCCCAAUAUCCACCAGGGUCUGUUCCUCCCCAAAACUACCCUUCCCAACCAUUUCCUCCCCAGCCUGGCCAGGGCCCCUAUCCUGGUCCUGGCUGCGGGCCUGGACAGGGCCCCUAUCCUGGUGCUGGGUGUGGGCCUGGACAGGGAAUGUGUCCUGGUGGUGGGUGUGGGCCUGGACGUGGGCACCAUCACGGGCAUCACGGACAUCAUGGACCUCAUGGACAUUACGGGCACCACCACCAUAUGUUCCGUCGCCACAGACACAGGCAUGGUCACAUGCAUGUCAAUUGUCACAAGAAAGGAAGACAUUGCCGUGGGAACUCCAGCAGCUCCUGCAGCAGCGACUCUGACUAGACUGAGGCUUUGACCAUCUGGACUCAUCAUCUACUGGACCCCCCCCCCCUUAUUAAGGUGAUAUGUAACCAAAGGGACUUUUUUCCUGUUUUGCGGUCAAGUAAGUUUAAAUUGAUCUGCAGCUUUUCUGACAUUAGUUCAACUGCUGCGUCAGUAGAAUCACGGCACGUCAAACAUAACACUUUUCUUUGCCUGUGGCUUUUUUUAGGACAUUUGAUUGUUUUCUGGUCUGCUUCUAUGUAUUGGUAAAGCUUUUUAGAAUUUUCAUAACCCUUUUGAUAAUGAUUAUAUUUUGCAAAGUGAAAUAUGAAAUAAAAUUUUACUACUUUGAAUAAAGUUUUUAACU
rnacentral:lncRNA from 1 species